AAUCAUGGCUCAGGAUGAACGCUGGCGGCGUGCUUAACACAUGCAAGUCGAGCGAAGCACCUAAGAAAGAUUCUUCGGAUGAAUUCUUUUGUGACUGAGCGGCGGACGGGUGAAGGUAACGCGUGGGUAACCUGCCUCAUACAGGGGGAUAACAGUUAGAAAUGACUGCUAAUACCGCAUAAGACCACGGUACCGCAUGGUACAGUGGUAAAAACUCCAGUGGUAUGAGAUGGACCCGCGU
rnacentral:rRNA from 1 species